AUCUGUAAUAAGUAGGAUUUAUAUUUGUAAAUUAUUGUAUGAUUAUAAUUUUGUAAAUGUAUGAGCUAAAAGUUUUCUUCUUGGAUUUAUACAUGAAAUCUUUGACUGUAAACCUGUGAUCAACCAUUGAUGAUUUGUUGACAGUGCACCCUGUGGCUUCCCAACCAGGAGCUAUAUGUGUCAAGUACCGCUUUUUCACCGGCCCUUUCUGGAUGUUGUUGAUGUCCGUUAUGGUCUUAUCUUAACCAAUCACAAGAGGGCUCCUCCAUCCACUGCCGGGGGAGAGUAGCACCUUGGUGCCCGCCCCAGGGGCAUUUUAUGCCCUAGAGGCUCUCCCAUACCCGGCAGUGGUGACUCUAUCUCCCUUUUAACUGUCAGAUUUUCUUAUCUUUCAGCUCUGAGACAUCUAGGCACAGUGAAUAUCUUUGCCCUAUCCUCAGGAAUUUACCCUCACUCCACUAAACGUUCCUCCAAUGGUUCCAUUUUUGCCCUGUAUUUGUUUUUUGCUUUUGGAUUCUCUUGUUUCCCCGGGUCCCCUGUUUAAUGAUGCCCCGAAACUGCAAUUUUAUUGCUGCUGUCUAAAUCUAUGGACUGUUAGGAUCUCUGGAGCGGGUGGUGAUUUCCGCCCCUUCUGUGCGGACACUUCCUUGUUUCUCCCUGUCUGGUCGUUGGGCGCAUUUCGUUCGCGUCGCUGUGACGCGUACAGUGGGUGGCACCACUGUGUGUGUUGCGUUCGCGUUCGGUCGUCUGACGUCUCAUGCACCUGAUUGGGUGCGCGGUCGUCACAUGACCCUUUGGUAUUCUGGGAUCACGCUAGACGCCGUGAGUCAUGUGCUGUGUGACGCGCAGGAGGCGCGUCACCGGCGGCAUGUCCACGGUGUCGUGCCCUGAUUGAUCAGAGCUCGGCCACCUGACGCUGACGUCAGUAGUGGGCGCGCUGUUUGCACGUCAAACAUGGGGAAUUUGGAGGAUAGGAAUCACUUCAGCUGAUCCCCAAAUGUCUAUUUACUGCUCCACCUACAACCAAUUAUUCCAUUCAAGGAACAGCUGUUACACCGCCGGAGUGAAUGGAUCAUCCACACCUGAGGUCCAUCAUCCUCAAAGUAAGUAUAAAGGGUAGUCAGGGGGGGUUUCCCUGUCAGCAUUCACUUUCCUCCCCUCACCUGUUGGAGCUGGAGGUUAUUUUGUCUUCUGGUCAAGUUUGCUUUCCUUUCUUUGACUGGAAUGGCUGUUCACCUUUGAGCUGAUGCAUUGGGAGUGCCAUUAUACUUUUUAUUUGUCCUAUGACUGCUGACUCCUUUGUGGAGACUUAUGUCACUCCACCCCCCCAUGGUUAUGGAGUCCUCUGGAUUGGGGGAUCGUUAUGGACAUUAAGUACACCAUCUGGUUUGGUUGCCCUGAUUGCGGCUUACACACAAGCUCCAUGGGGAUGAUCUAGGCGCUCUGUGUCUGGAAAGGGGAAAAACUCUUGCUGCUUUCUAUUCCCUGA